AUGCCCAGAGACCUCAGUCAAUGGAUAAUGAAGCACUAUGAUCCGGAGAAGUCACAGGUUGUUAUACCAUAAAGGGGGAAGAUUCCAGUAGACGCAGCUAGUGUCCAUAGGAUAUGGGGGCUUCCUAACAGGGGGAGGAAGGUGUGCUACGAGAUUCGGCCUGAAAUCACAAAGGAGUUCUACAGGAUCUACAAUAUCCAAGGCAAGAAUGCGCCAACUCUCACUGCAUGGUGUAAAAUGAUCCAAGGAAUGGAUGGAGCUCAUGAUGAUGACUUCCUACGUGCUUGGUUAGCCGCUGCUUUUUCUUGCUUCCUUGCACCAUCAACCAGUCUUAGCAUUUCACCAAAGAGCUUCUCGGCUAUGAUGGAUGUCAAUGGUAUUCAAGGCACAAACAUUUGUCAGCUCGUGGUCGACCAACUUAAGGCUGCGUUCAGAUCAUCCCGCGGCAAGAAAAAUGCUGUUUGCUGCUGCGUGUUUCACCUUGUAGUAAUUUGA
rnacentral:rRNA from 1 species